rnacentral:lncRNA from 1 species
CCGCGCAGAGCCCGCGCCAGGGCCGCCGGCCGCAGAGCAUUAAAACGUGCAGGCACCAGAAGGCACUUCCUGUCGGUGAAGAAGACCUGUCUCCGGUGUCACGGGCAUCCUGUGUUUUGCAAACGGGGCUGACCUCCCUUCCUGGGGAGCAGGAAGGGUCAGUGUUAGGAAGGAAAAGAAGUACAGAAGAUCUGGCUAAACAAUUUCUGUAUGGCGAAAGAAAAAUUCUAACUUGUACGCCCUCUUCAUGCAUCUUUAAUUCAAUUUGAAUAUUCCAGCGACAUCCUCACUGACCGAGCAAAGAUUGACAUUCGUAUCAUCACUGUGCACCAUUGGCUUCUAGGCACUCCAGUGGGGUAGGAGAAGGAGGUCUGAAACCCUCGCAGAGGGAUCUUGCCCUCAUUCUUUGGGUCUGAAACACUGGCAGUCGUUGGAAACAGGACUCAGGAUAAACCAGCGCAAUGGAUUGGGGGACGCUGCACACUUUCAUCGGGGGUGUCAACAAACACUCCACCAGCAUCGGGAAGGUGUG